AACAAACGCUGGCGGCGUGCCUAACGCAUGCAAGUCGUACGAGAAAGGGUCCUUCGGGGCCUGAGUAAAGUGGCGCACGGGUGAGUAACGCGUGGAUAAUCUGCCCUUCAGUUGGGAAUAACUCAUCGAAAGGUGGGCUAAUACCGAAUAAUGCUGUGAGACCUCGGUUGAUCAGCCAAAGAGAGCCUCUGAUUGCAAGACCUCGCUGAAGGAUGAGUCCGCGUACCAUUAGCUAGUUGGUAGGGUAAUGGCCUACCAAGGCGACGAUGGUUAGCUGGUCUGAGAGGAUGAUCAGCCACACUGGAACUGAGACACGGUCCAGACUCCUACGGGAGGCAGCAGUGAGGAAUCUUGCGCAAUGGGGGCAACCCUGACGCAGCAACGCCGCGUGAGUGAGGAAGGUCUUCGGAUCGUAAAGCUCUGUCGGAUGGAAAGAACCGCAUAGGGGUAAACAGCCCCUGUGUCUGACGGUACCAUCAAAGGAAGCACCGGCUAACUCCGUGCCAGCCGCCGCCGUAAGAC
rnacentral:rRNA from 1 species